GGUUAAGCGACUAAGCGUACACGGUGGAUGCCCUGGCAGUCAGAGGCGAUGAAGGACGUGCUAAUCUGCGAUAAGCGUCGGUAAGGUGAUAUGAACCGUUAUAACCGGCGAUUUCCGAAUGGGGAAACCCAGUGUGUUUCGACACACUAUCAUUAACUGAAUCCAUAGGUUAAUGAGGCGAACCGGGGGAACUGAAACAUCUAAGUACCCCGAGGAAAAGAAAUCAACCGAGAUUCCCCCAGUAGCGGCGAGCGAACGGGGAGCAGCCCAGAGCCUGAAUCAGUGUGUGUGUUAGUGGAAGCGUCUGGAAAGGCGCGCGAUACAGGGUGACAGCCCCGUACACAAAAAUGCACAUACUGUGAGCUCGAUGAGUAGGGCGGGACACGUGGUAUCCUGUCUGAAUAUGGGGGGACCAUCCUCCAAGGCUAAAUACUCCUGACUGACCGAUAGUGAACCAGUACCGUGAGGGAAAGGCGAAAAGAACCCCGGCGAGGGGAGUGAAAAAGAACCUGAAACCGUGUACGUACAAGCAGUGGGAGCCUCUUAAUGGGGUGACUGCGUACCUUUUGUAUAAUGGGUCAGCGACUUAUAUUCUGUAGCAAGGUUAACCGAAUAGGGGAGCCGAAGGGAAACCGAGUCUUAACUGGGCGUUAAGUUGCAGGGUAUAGACCCGAAACCCGGUGAUCUAGCCAUGGGCAGGUUGAAGGUUGGGUAACACUAACUGGAGGACCGAACCGACUAAUGUUGAAAAAUUAGCGGAUGACUUGUGGCUGGGGGUGAAAGGCCAAUCAAACCGGGAGAUAGCUGGUUCUCCCCGAAAGCUAUUUAGGUAGCGCCUCGUGAAUUCAUCUCCGGGGGUAGAGCACUGUUUCGGCAAGGGGGUCAUCCCGACUUACCAACCCGAUGCAAACUGCGAAUACCGGAGAAUGUUAUCACGGGAGACACACGGCGGGUGCUAACGUCCGUCGUGAAGAGGGAAACAACCCAGACCGCCAGCUAAGGUCCCAAAGUCAUGGUUAAGUGGGAAACGAUGUGGGAAGGCCCAGACAGCCAGGAUGUUGGCUUAGAAGCAGCCAUCAUUUAAAGAAAGCGUAAUAGCUCACUGGUCGAGUCGGCCUGCGCGGAAGAUGUAACGGGGCUAAACCAUGCACCGAAGCUGCGGCAGCGACACUGUGUGUUGUUGGGUAGGGGAGCGUUCUGUAAGCCUGUGAAGGUGUGCUGUGAGGCAUGCUGGAGGUAUCAGAAGUGCGAAUGCUGACAUAAGUAACGAUAAAGCGGGUGAAAAGCCCGCUCGCCGGAAGACCAAGGGUUCCUGUCCAACGUUAAUCGGGGCAGGGUGAGUCGACCCCUAAGGCGAGGCCGAAAGGCGUAGUCGAUGGGAAACAGGUUAAUAUUCCUGUACUUGGUGUUACUGCGAAGGGGGGACGGAGAAGGCUAUGUUGGCCGGGCGACGGUUGUCCCGGUUUAAGCGUGUAGGCUGGUUUUCCAGGCAAAUCCGGAAAAUCAAGGCUGAGGCGUGAUGACGAGGCACUACGGUGCUGAAGCAACAAAUGCCCUGCUUCCAGGAAAAGCCUCUAAGCAUCAGGUAACAUUAAAUCGUACCCCAAACCGACACAGGUGGUCAGGUAGAGAAUACCAAGGCGCUUGAGAGAACUCGGGUGAAGGAACUAGGCAAAAUGGUGCCGUAACUUCGGGAGAAGGCACGCUGAUAUGUAGGUGAAGUCCCUCGCGGAUGGAGCUGAAAUCAGUCGAAGAUACCAGCUGGCUGCAACUGUUUAUUAAAAACACAGCACUGUGCAAACACGAAAGUGGACGUAUACGGUGUGACGCCUGCCCGGUGCCGGAAGGUUAAUUGAUGGGGUUAGCGGUAACGCGAAGCUCUUGAUCGAAGCCCCGGUAAACGGCGGCCGUAACUAUAACGGUCCUAAGGUAGCGAAAUUCCUUGUCGGGUAAGUUCCGACCUGCACGAAUGGCGUAAUGAUGGCCAGGCUGUCUCCACCCGAGACUCAGUGAAAUUGAACUCGCUGUGAAGAUGCAGUGUACCCGCGGCAAGACGGAAAGACCCCGUGAACCUUUACUAUAGCUUGACACUGAACAUUGAGCCUUGAUGUGUAGGAUAGGUGGGAGGCUUUGAAGUGUGGACGCCAGUCUGCAUGGAGCCGGCCUUGAAAUACCACCCUUUAAUGUUUGAUGUUCUAACGUUGGCCCCUGAUCGGGGUUGCGGACAGUGUCUGGUGGGUAGUUUGACUGGGGCGGUCUCCUCCUAAAGAGUAACGGAGGAGCACGAAGGUUGGCUAAUCCUGGUCGGACAUCAGGAGGUUAGUGCAAUGGCAUAAGCCAGCUUGACUGCGAGCGUGACGGCGCGAGCAGGUGCGAAAGCAGGUCAUAGUGAUCCGGUGGUUCUGAAUGGAAGGGCCAUCGCUCAACGGAUAAAAGGUACUCCGGGGAUAACAGGCUGAUACCGCCCAAGAGUUCAUAUCGACGGCGGUGUUUGGCACCUCGAUGUCGGCUCAUCACAUCCUGGGGCUGAAGUAGGUCCCAAGGGUAUGGCUGUUCGCCAUUUAAAGUGGUACGCGAGCUGGGUUUAGAACGUCGUGAGACAGUUCGGUCCCUAUCUGCCGUGGGCGCUGGAGAACUGAGGGGGGCUGCUCCUAGUACGAGAGGACCGGAGUGGACGCAUCACUGGUGUUCGGGUUGUCAUGCCAAUGGCACUGCCCGGUAGCUAAAUGCGGAAGAGAUAAGUGCUGAAAGCAUCUAAGCACGAAACUUGCCCCGAGAUGAGUUCUCCCUGACUCCUUGAGAGUCCUGAAGGAACGUUGAAGACGACGACGUUGAUAGGCCGGGUGUGUAAGCGCAGCGAUGCGUUGAGCUAACCGGUACUAAUGAACCGUGAGGCUUAACCUU
rnacentral:rRNA from 1 species